rnacentral:rRNA from 1 species
UACGUAGGGUGCAAGCGUUAAUCGGAAUUACUGGGCGUAAAGCGUGCGCAGGCGGUUGUGCAAGACAGAUGUGAAAUCCCCGGGCUCAACCUGGGAAUUGCAUUUGUGACUGCACGGCUAGAGUGUGUCAGAGGGGGGUAGAAUUCCACGUGUAGCAGUUGAAAUGCGUAGAGAUGUGGAGGAAUACCGAUGGCGAAGGCAGCCCCCCUGGGAUAACACUGACGCUCAUGCACGAAAGCGUGGGGAGCAAACAGG